GGGGCGGGGCGGGGGUGGGGAGGAAGUGCUGUUCUCUCCCUGUCGGUGCAGCGAUGCUUCCAGAAGCUAUAACUUCUUCAAAGCCACAGUUUGAAGACUUCCACCUCACAGACUCAUCAUCCAUGUCACCAGGGAACUGGAAUCCUGACUCAGCUGAAAGUAACUCCACUCAGCCAUCUUUCUCUCCUGCAGAGCCUGAAGAGAGCCCAGGAAGAUUGGCCUGGAAGAUGUGACCCACCUCCCAUGUCUGCAGCUAUGCUCACCAACCUGUGUGAAGAUCUGUGAAGUCCUAGUCUGCCCUGCUCUGUGAUAUGUGCAUAUCUUUAGUGACUUGGGCAGCCCCUCCUUGGCCGUGAGCCACAUGUGGCACCACCUUUUGGCCAUUUGCCCACUAGUGCCACCUCCUUCCAUCGCCAAAGCAGUGGGAUCACUGGAUUUGCAUUUGGCUACCAGAUGUUGCAGGAAGGAAUUGAAGAGACAGACACAACUCAGCACCAACUCUACCCUUAUCUUGGGGAACCCCUCUAUUCCAAUCACCCCCGUGCUCGGACAGAGAAUAUUGUGUCUGUUUGGUUCGUUGUCUUCAAAGAUUAGCACUCAUUGUCAAUUUGAUGACACAACCUAGACUCACCUGGGAAGAGUCUAAAUAGGGGAUUGUCUGUUUAGAUUGGGUUGGGGACCUGUCUGUUGGGGAUUUCCUAAUUACUUUAGCUGAUAUGUGAAGACCCAGCCCACUGUGGGCAGCACCAUUCCUUAGUUAGGAGGUCUUCGACUGUAUAAGAGUGGAGAAAUGAAGUUGAAGGUGAGAAGCAACAGGAUCAACAUGCAGGCACUCAUUUCUCUGCGCAUGACUGGAUGUCACAUGACCAGCUCCUAUCUUGACUUCUCCACAACAGUUGAACUAUAACCUGGAAUUGUAAGCCAAAAGUAAGCCCCUUUUGCUCCUAAGUUGUUUUGUUUUAUUUUGUGUUGUUUGUCAGAGUAUUUUCUUCCAGCAGCAGACUUAAAACUAAAACAGAGUUAGAGGGUGGGUUGUUCUUUCUGGGUAAGAGAUCCAUUAGUUAUUAACUCCAUAGAUGGACAGACAACAGCAUAGCGUGGGUUCUGGGGAGAGACCAGGCACACAUGGCAGAGUCCUGCUCUUCCUUAGAUGCUGGAGGACUGAAAGAGCCAUAGAGGUCAAAGACACCACAAGAAACCCUACAGAAUCAACUAACCUUGGCACAUAGAGGCUCACAGAGACUAAACCACCAACCAGAGAGCAUGCAUAGGACAGACCUAGUCUCCCUAUACGUAUGUAACAGAUGUAUAGCUUGGUCCUCAUGUGGGACUUCUAACAGCAGGAGGAGAAGAUGUCUCUGACUCUGUUGCCUACCUUCGGAUCCCUUUCCCCUAACUGGAUGGCCUUGCCUAGCUCAAGAGGAGAUGCACCCAGUCCUACUACAAUUUGAUAUGCCAAGGCAGAGGUUGAUAUCCAUGGGAGGUCUCUCCUCUGAGGAAAAAGGAGGGCAUAAGAGAAGGGGAGGAGAGAGGGACAGUCUGGGAGGAGAGGAGAAAGGAAAAGCUCAGGUCAGAAUAUAAAGUACAUAAAUAAAUUAAUUAAUAAAAAAUAAAAUUAUAUCUGUUAAAAAAGAA
rnacentral:lncRNA from 1 species